rnacentral:rRNA from 1 species
GAUGAACGCUGGCGGCGUGCUUAACACAUGCAAGUCGAACGGAAAGGCUCCUGCUUGCAGGGGUACUCGAGUGGCGAACGGGUGAGUAACACGUGGGUGAUCUGCCCUUCACUUCGGGAUAAGCCUGGGAAACUGGGUCUAAUACCGGAUAGGAUGUUGGUUUGGAUGCCAUUGUGGAAAGUUUUUCGGUGUGGGAUGAGUUCGCGGCCUAUCAGCUUGUUGGUGGGGUAAUGGUCUACCAAGGAGUCGACGGGUAGCCGGCCUGGGAGGGGGGACGGCCACAUUGGGACUGAGAGACGGCCCAGACUCCUACGGGAGGCAGCAGUGGGGAGUAUUGCACAAUGGGCGCAAGCCUGAUGCAGCGGCGCCGCGUGGGGGAUGACGGCCUUCGGGUUGUAAACACCUUUCGCUAGAGACGAAGCGCAAGUGACGGUACCUGGAGAAGAAGCACCGGCUAACUACGUG